rnacentral:rRNA from 1 species
UACGUAGGGGGCAAGCGUUGUCCGGAUUUAUUGGGCGUAAAGCGCGUGUAGGCGGCCAGGUAGGUCCGCUGUGAAAACCCGAGGCUCAACCUCGAGACGUCGGUUGAAACCGUAUGGCUAGAGUCCGGAAGAGGAGAGUGGAAUUCCCGGUGUAGCGGUGAAAUGCGCAGAUAUCGGGAAGAACACCCGUGGCGAAGGCGGCUCACUCGGCCCGGUACUGGACGCUGACGGCGCGAAAGCGUGGGGAGCAAACAGGG